rnacentral:rRNA from 1 species
UACGAAGGGGGCUAGCGUUGUUCGGAAUUACUGGGCGUAAAGCGCGCGCAGGCGGUUUUCCAAGUCAGUGGGGAAAGCCCGGAGCUCAACUCCGGAAAUGCCAUUGAAACUGUAAAACUUGAGGACGAGAGAGGUGAGUGGAAUUCCCAGUGUAGAGGUGAAAUUCGUAGAUAUUGGGAAGAACACCGGUGGCGAAGGCGGCUCACUGGCUCGUUUCUGACGCUCAGGCGCGAUAGCGUGGGGAUCAAACAGG